UACAGAGGUCUCAAGCGUUGUUCGGAUUCAUUGGGCGUAAAGGGUGCGUAGGCGGCCAACUAAGUCCGACGUGAAAUCCCAAAGCUUAACUUUGGAACUGCGUCGGAUACUGGAUGGCUUGAAUUCGGGAGAGGGAUGCAGAAUCCCAGGUGUAGCGGUGAAAUGCGUAGAUAUCUGGAGGAAUACCGGUGGCGAAGGCGGCAUCCUGGACCGACAUUGACGCUGAGGAGCGAAAGCUAGGGGAGCAAACGGG
rnacentral:rRNA from 1 species